rnacentral:pre_miRNA from 14 species
UUUUUCCUAAGUAUGUAACUGUGACUGAAAGACCCCCGGAGCAGGGAGACCCUCACUCAAGUCUCGGGAUGAUGCAACCCCCCAAGAACUCACGUGAGACC